AACGAACGCUGGCGGCAGGCUUAACACAUGCAAGUCGAGCGCCCCGCAAGGGGAGCGGCAGACGGGUGAGUAACGCGUGGGAAUCUACCUUUUGCUACGGAAUAACUCAGGGAAACUUGUGCUAAUACCGUAUGUGCCCUUCGGGGGAAAGAUUUAUCGGCAAAGGAUGAGCCCGCGUUGGAUUAGCUAGUUGGUGGGGUAAAGGCCCACCAAGGCGACGAUCCAUAGCUGGUCUGAGAGGAUGAUCAGCCACACUGGGACUGAGACACGGCCCAGACUCCUACGGGAGGCAGCAGUGGGGAAUAUUGGACAAUGGGCGCAAGCCUGAUCCAGCCAUGCCGCGUGAGUGAUGAAGGCCCUAGGGUUGUAAAGCUCUUUCACCGGUGAAGAUAAUGACGGUAACCGGAGAAGAAGCCCCGGCUAACUUCGUGCCAGCAGCCGCGGUAACAC
rnacentral:rRNA from 1 species